rnacentral:rRNA from 1 species
CGGAGGGUGCAAGCGUUAUCCGGAUUCACUGGGUUUAAAGGGUGCGUAGGAGGGCAGGUAAGUCAGUGGUGAAAUCUUCGAGCUUAACUCGGAAACUGCCGUUGAUACUAUCUGUCUUGAAUACCGUGGAGAUGAGCGGAAUAUGUCAUGUAGCGGUGAAAUGCUUAGAUAUGACAUAGAACACCAAUUGCGAAGGCAGCUCGUUACACGAAUAUUGACUCUGAGGCACGAAAGCGUGGGGAUCAAACAGGAUUAGAUACCCUGGUAGUCCACGCCCUAAACGAUGGAUACUCGACAUACGCGAUACACUGUGUGUGUCUGAGCGAAAGCAUUAAGUAUCCCACCUGGGAAGUACGACCGCAAGGUUG